rnacentral:rRNA from 1 species
GCUGAGCACGUAGGUGGGUUUGUAAGUCAGAUGUAAAAGCCUUCUGUUCAACGGAAGAAUUGCAUCUGAAACUGCGAGUCUUGAGUGUAGGAGGGGAGAAUGGAACUUCUGGUGGAGCGGCGAAAUGCGUAGAUAUCAGAAGGAACGCCGGCGGCGAAAGCGAUUCUCUGGCCUAUUACUGACACUCAGUGUGCGAAAGCUAGGGGAGCAAACGGGAUUAGAUACCCCGGUAGUCCUAGCCGUAAACGAUGGGCACUAAGUAGAGGGAAUUACCGAUGUUCUCUCUGCCGUAGCUAACGCAUUAAGUGCCCCGCCUGGGGAGUACGGCCGCAAGGCUAAAACUCAAAAGAAUUGACGGGGGCUCGCACAAGCGGUGGAGCAUGUGGCUUAAUUCGAUGCAACGCGAAAAACCUUACCGGGGCUUGACAUGGUAGAAGUAGGAACCCGAAAGGGUAACGAACGGUAUCCAGUCCGUAGCUAUCACAGGUGUUGCAUGGCUGUCGUCAGCUCGUGUCGUGAGACGUUGGGUUAAGUCCCCUAACGAGCGAAACCCUUGUUUUUAGUUACCAGCGGGUUGUGCCGGGUACUCUAGAAAGACUGCCGUCGUCAAGACGGAGGAAGGUGGGGAUGACGUCAAGUCAUCAUGGCCCUUAUGCCCCGGGCUGCACACGUGCUACAAUGGUCGGUACAAACGGAUGUGAAGCCGAGAGGUGAAGCGAAUCCAAGC